GAUGAACGCUGGCGGCGUGCCUAAUACAUGCAAGUCGAGCGAACGGACGAGAAGCUUGCUUCUCUGAUGUUAGCGGCGGACGGGUGAGUAACACGUGGAUAACCUACCUAUAAGACUGGGAUAACUUCGGGAAACCGGAGCUAAUACCGGAUGAUAUUUUGAACCGCAUGGUUCAAAAGUGAAAGACGGUCUUGCUGUCACUUAUAGAUGGAUCCGCGCUGCAUUAGCUAGUUGGUAAGGUAACGGCUUACCAAGGCAACGAUGCAUAGCCGACCUGACAGGGUGAUCGGCCACACUGGAACUGAGACACGGUCCAGACUCCUACGGGAGGCAGCAGUAGGGAAUCUUCCGCAAUGGGCGAGAGCCUGACGGAGCAACGCCGCGUGAGUGAUGAAGGUCUUCGGAUCGUAAAACUCUGUUAUUAGGGAAGAACAUAUGUGUAAGUAACUGUGCACAUCUUGACGGUACCUAAUCAGAAAGCCACGGCUAACUACGUG
rnacentral:rRNA from 1 species